UAUCAAGAUAGAAGAAUUACAAUUCCUCCUGAAAAUCUGAGGAUGGAUCUGCUUCUCUAACUGAGAAGUCACUGUGGUGUUUACAUUAAUGGCACUCAUCGGGAGAGAGUCUGGAGGCUGUCCCACACCACCGCACCACCCACAGGCCCUAGGUUCCAUAUCCCGUAGUACCAGCUCCAUUUUACACAUGAAGAAAUGGAAGUUCAGAGAGACAAAGUGACUUGCUCAAUGUCACACAGCUGGUAAGUAGCUGUGAUUUAAACCCAAGUCUUUUGCCCCUGAGGCCUGUUUAUGUAGCCAGA
rnacentral:lncRNA from 1 species